AAGGGUAUAGCUCAGUGGUAGAGUGAGUGCUUAGCAUGCACAAGGUCCUGGGUUCAGUCCCCAGUACUGUCA
rnacentral:tRNA from 1 species